CCAGACUCCUACGGGAGGCAGCAGUGGGGAAUAUUGGACAAUGGGGGGAACCCUGAUCCAGCGACGCCGCGUGAGUGAAGAAGUAUUUCGGUAUGUAAAGCUCUAUCAGCAGGGAAGAAAGAAAUGACGGUACCUGAGUAAGAAGCACCGGCUAAAUACGUGCCAGCAGCCGCGGUAAUACGUAUGGUGCAAGCGUUAUCCGGAUUUACUGGGUGUAAAGGGAGCGCAGGCGGCACGGCAAGCCUGAUGUGAAAGCCCGCGGCCCAACCGCGGGACUGCAUUGGGAACUACCGGGCUGGAGUGCCGGAGAGGUAGGCGGAAUUCCUAGUGUAGCGGUGAAAUGCGUAGAUAUACGGAGGAACACCAGUGGCGAAGGCGGAUUUCUGGACAGUAACUGACGCUGAGGCGCGAAAGCGUGGGGAGCAAACAGGAUUAGAUACCCCAGUA
rnacentral:rRNA from 1 species